ACCCCCUGCACUGGAAGCGCGGAGUCUCAACCACUGGGCCACCAGGUUCUGAGGAAUGGGACUUCCACUACUUUCCUGGGAAGACAGUUCUCCAGUGCAGUCCCUCUAAUUAUUUAAGGUGAUUGUUUUACUAUGAUGUGGACGAUUAAGGACAAACGAUUAAUUUUGCAUGCAUAAUCAACUCCAAACUCUCCUGGACAGAUUGCCAUGAAUAUGGCCUAUCUAUGAACAUCAGAACAUGGUUGAUUCUUCGUAUUUGUACUAUCCUGCUGUUUUUUUGCCCUGCUGUAUGGUUUUUAAGGCUAAAACAGAGCAGUGUUACAUAAAUGUAUAGAAUCUUAGGGUUGGAUGAAUUUCAAAUUCAUCCAGUUCAAGGACCCAUUUGAUACCUUAAUCUCUUCAAGUGCUUACACAGCCUUAGCAUUAAUAAUUCUAGUGAUGGUAAUGCUUACUUCCACUGGAGCAUAUAUAAUUGAGAGCAGGAAAACUAAGAAGUCAGGAAUAAAUUACAAUUUCUUCAUCUGUAGAAGAUAUAUACAAUUGAGGAUUAAAUGAAAUAACCUAUAUGAUCAGGCCUAGCACAGUGCUAGAAAUAUAAUACAUACUAAAAAAUAGUUAUAUUUAAAUUUAUUUAUAUCACACUCACUACUCUUUAUGUUUCAAGUGUCUAGUGCUUGGUAAUGUCACAUAAUUUGGGGGGUGGUGGUACCUGGUUGUCUGUUAUUAUGUUAGGGUCACUGAAGUGUCAUUAGACUAAUAUUAUGUUUUUGGUUUUUUUUUUGUUUGUUUUUGCGGUAUGUGGGUCUCCCACCGCUGUGGCCUC